UACAGAGGGGGCAAGCGUUGUUCGGAAUUACUGGGCGUAAAGGGCGCGUAGGCGGCCCGCUAAGUCGAACGUGAAAUCCCCGAGCUCAACUCGGGAACUGCGUCCGAUACUGGCGGGCUUGAAUCCGGGAGAGGGAUGCGGGAAUUCCAGGUGUAGCGGUGAAAUGCGUAGAUAUCUGGAGGAACACCGGUGGCGAAGGCGGCAUCCUGGACCGGUAUUGACGCUGAGGCGCGAAAGCCAGGGGAGCAAACGGGG
rnacentral:rRNA from 1 species